UUUAGAUUAGUCGGCCAUGAUAGAAAUUUUUUUGGGGUUUUUCUGUCCCUCUCUCUAUCUCUCUCCCUCUCGGGCUCUGUUUUUCUGUCUCCCUUUCUCUAUUUCCCCAUUUCACUCUACCUCUAGGGUUUACUUUUUUAUGGUGUAGGGUUUUGAUUUAUGUGAAAUCAAUGAACCGAUGAUUGAAAUGGGUUUCUAUAAAAUGAUUGAAGGAACAUGUAAUUUAUUGGGGGGUUUUUUAUCCCGAAUCAAGAUUUCCCCAUUUCACUCUUGUUCCAGAUUCAAGAUUUAGCUAGAUAAUUGAAGAAUAGCCCCAACCAGCAUGUUUUGAUAAUCUUUUAUGGGUUUUUUUCUUCUUCUAGAUAAUACAUAGUUAUUCUUCUCGCCAAUCCAGAUUACUAAGCAAUAAUUCAAUAUUUAUUUGUAGUAUUUGGAAGUUUUGUAAUUUUGGGGGGUUUUUUUUUUAGCCACAGUCCAGAUUACCAGUGUUGCCAAGAUCGGUCUCGUGGCCUAUUCUGAAUUCUCUUGUUUCAUCCCUAGAUGACAGCUUGGAGUGGAAAGGGGCUUGCUUCUACAAGAAUCGGGCUUGGAUGGAGUUCCACAACAAAAGCCGCAUAGAAUUUGGUGGAGGCACUCUUCAUGUUAAGAUUUCUAGACUUUUGUGUGGCUCGCCUCAACUUGGAAGAUUAGAGUUUCUGGAGGAUCAAAUGUGAACAUCUAGUAGUUGAGGUUUUGAUUAGGCUCACUCUAGGAUGUAGUUUUAUCCUUUGUUUUAUGAAGUAGGUUGAUUGUAAAUAUUUGCUUUGUGAAGUUGGAUGUAUUGAUGGAUUCACGAAUAGUAUGAUUUAUUUUGGGGGUAGUGGUGCAUGGAAACUAUCUUAGUAGCAUGAUGAUAUUUUUGUCUUUGAAUGGAUCAUCUCAUAUAUGUUGGCCAAUCGAAGGGUCUUAUGCACUAUUGGUGAUGUGAUAUAAGAAUUAUGCUGGUGAUUAUUGUGUACA